rnacentral:rRNA from 1 species
CAGCAGCCGCGGGAAUACGAAGGGUGCAAGCGUUACUCGGAAUUACUGGGCGUAAAGCGUGCGUAGGUGGUGGUUUAAGUCCGUUGUGAAAGCCCUGGGCUCAACCUGGGAAUUGCAGUGGAUACGGGGUCACUAGAGUGUGGUAGAGGAUGGUGGAAUUUCCGGUGUAGCAGUGAAAUGCGUAGAGAUCGGAAGGAACAUCUGUGGCGAAGGCGACUAUCUGGGCCAACACUGACACUGAGGCACGAAAGCGUGGGGAGCAAACAGGAUUAGAUACCCCUGUAGUCCCUGUCUCUUAUAC